UGUUUGUUUACUGAAUGAGCACCUUUACUUGGAAGACAGUUAAAUUGCCUGCAGAUCAGCUUUCAAGACUUGAAUGUAAGCUCUGUUGAGAGGAAGGGAGAGAGAUAGAGAGUUAGAAACAUCAAUG